rnacentral:lncRNA from 1 species
UUGGGUCCUAGCUUAAUUAUUAGGCCCCAAUUGAAUUUGUAAUUAGUUAGAUUAAAAUCUCAUUGAUCCAGGGAUUGAUUCUUAUUGGAUAUCAGGGAAGCUAUUUGAUAAUAGGGCUUGAUUCAAUGAACCCUAUUAUCCAAUAAAAUUUGAUCCAAUCAAAAUCUAUAUAAAAUAAUUGAAUCUUAUUCAACAUAGGUUUUAAUUUGUUUCCCUG